CCCUUAGAUGUCCGGGGCCGCACGCGCGCUACACUGAAGGAAUCAGCGUGGCUUUCUCCCUGACCCGAAAGGGUUGGGAAACCCGUUGAAUCUCCUUCGUGAUAGGGAUUGGGGCUUGAAAUUGUUCCCCAUGAACGAGGAAUUCCCAGUAAGCGCGAGUCAUAAGCUCGCGUUGAUUACGUCCCUGCCCUUUGUACACACCGCCCGUCGCUACUACCGAUUGAAUGGCUUAGUGAGGUCUUCGGACUGGACUUCGGGGAGCCGGCAACGGCACCCUGUCGCUGGGAAGUUGAUCAAACUUGGUCAUUUAGAGGAAGUAAAAGUCGUAACA
rnacentral:rRNA from 1 species